rnacentral:lncRNA from 1 species
GGCCCCUCAGGAGGAAGGGGCGGGGAGAUCCCAGCUACUAGAGGACGCCCGUUCCAAUGGCAACUCUGCCAAGGCGCCUAUGAGAGCCUCUUGGCUUUUACCUGGUCUGCGAGAAAUCAAACUUUGGGCACAAGUCAUGAAGCCGACAAGCCCGGGAGACACAGUGUCAGAAUUACAAGCCUCCCUUGCUGCCCACCUCUAGUUCCUACUGAGCCUCUUCCCUCCUGGAUGGUAUAAAACAGUGCCACAUGGAGUCUUAGGUCCAGCAUCACAUGUAUUGAGCCAAUAUUCACUAAACGAAUACUUCUGAGCAUCUACUAUGUGCCAGGCAUGCUUCCAGGGACUAAAACCAAGAUCCUCCCCUUCAUGGAGCACAGAUCCAGAGUGGAGGAGAGUCAGACCAUGAGUGAGGAAAACAAGCUCAUGAACAAAAUGAGAUAAGUGUCACUGGGACAACAGAACAAAGUAAGCAAUGUGGGAGAGGGUGGCUGGGUGAUGAAACCCUCUGAGAGAUCAGGUUCAUGAGGAGGAGGCAGAGCUAGAUCUGGCAGCCAGAGUCCCAGGAGGAGGGCACAGCGAGUGCAGAGCCUGGAUGUGAGGAGGUGUGUGCCUGCCAAUCACUCUAUAGGAAAGGAUGUACCUUUGAAGAGGAACUUUCUGGACCCUCUUAAUUCUGCCAUCAGUGCAGCUCUUCCAGAUAAAGAACAGAAGCGUACCUGGGAGAGCUGGCUGAAACCAGGACACGGUGGGACCAUUGGAAAGGACUCUAAACCACAGCAGCAGAAGGAGAGCUAGACUUGCAGGGACCCAGGCUCCACACUAGGGACCUCGACCUUGUCCUGCAGGGAGUGGAGACCCAUGAAUGGAUGUUAGCCCACAGUGCCUUGCAUACAGGAGAUCAUCAUUCUUCUGGUCCUAUGCCAUGUGAUUGUUACUGAGGAGGAUGGAGAUGACAUCAUCUACCACGCCUCCUCCCCAGAUGAAGCUGCUUUGGUGGAAGGUGCUAAAAAGCUGGGCUUUGUACAGUGAGAACACCAUAUUCGGUCAUCAUAGAAGCAAUAGAGCUUUGGAGCCAAACCCUUCUGAUGAUCCAAGGGCAAGCACAGUCUUCUUGCAAAAAUCUCAAACAGAUGGUGAGACGACACUGUUUUUUCCACCAAGAAGACGACUGAAAACUCUCUGUCAUAAUGAGUGUAUUAUAGAAAGCAUUUAGAGAAACUUACAUUGGUUUAAAAUUUUCAACUUUUCAUAUAUUCACUUGUCCUAUUUUAAUGUGUGAAAUACUUCUCUUUAGUUGUUACUGUGUGAGUGAAAACAUGUAAACUUUCUGUUUAUACAUUUUGCUACCUUUUGGCAACACCAUUUGUCAUGUGAUUUAAGAGUAGUCAUAGAUUUAUCUUUAUUCAUAAUUUUUUAUUCAUAUUUUUUGUCUUUCGCCCUUUUUCCCUUGCUCCAAAGAGUUCAUUUUAAUGAUGAAUGAUAGAAUUUAGGCUUCAGCUUGAUCUUUAUUUAAACAAAUAAAAAAACCAUUUGUUCAUCAA